UAUGGUCAUACCAUCCAUCCUGAAUGUGUCUAAUCUCAUUUGAUCUCAAAAGCUAAGCAGGGUCAGACCUGAUUAGUACUUGGAUGGGAAAAAAAUCAAAGCACAGUAACUGUCAUAU
rnacentral:rRNA from 1 species